CAUCACCUGCAUGUACUCCCGAGAUCCGAAAGAAUCGUGUGGCUUCAGUUUCUUCAGAUAUUCUCUGCCCUGUCUCUUGUAGCCCAUUUCCUUCUGUCACCAUCCCUUUGUGCACCUGUGAUGAUGGCCCCUGCCCAUCUUUUGAACCCCGGGAGGUAGAAACACAAGAUGAGUCUCCUCGUCGUUCACAAACCACAUCAAUAGAUCAGGAUAAAAUGGAAGGAGCAAGACUGGAAAGAACAAGCUGUUCAAGCAUGUUUUGGGGCAGAAGAAGCUGUAGCAGGGAGCAUCAAUGCAACUCCGAAAUAAAUGCUUGACUGAUUUGGUGGAUGAUCCAUUCUGAUUUCCUACUCAAAUAGAAUUUUGAAAACA
rnacentral:lncRNA from 1 species